AUUGAACGCUGGCGGCAUGCCUUACACAUGCAAGUCGAACGGCAGCAUGAUCUAGCUUGCUAGAUUGAUGGCGAGUGGCGAACGGGUGAGUAAUACAUCGGAACGUGCCCUGUAGUGGGGGAUAACUAGUCGAAAGAUUAGCUAAUACCGCAUACGACCUGAGGGUGAAAGUGGGGGACCGCAAGGCCUCAUGCUAUAGGAGCGGCCGAUGUCUGAUUAGCUAGUUGGUGGGGUAAAGGCCCACCAAGGCGACGAUCAGUAGCUGGUCUGAGAGGACGAUCAGCCCCACUGGGACUGAGACACGGCCCAGACUCCUACGGGAGGCAGCAGUGGGGAAUUUUGGACAAUGGGGGCAACCCUGAUCCAGCAAUGCCGCGUGUGUGAAGAAGGCCUUCGGGUUGUAAAGCACUUUUGUCCGGAAAGAAAUCGCACUUACUAAUAUUAGGUGUGGAUGACGGUACCGGAAGAAUAAGGACCGGCUAACUACGUG
rnacentral:rRNA from 1 species